GUAGGAUCUAAAUAUUUCAAUAAAAUAUAGGGAGUUACACAAACAUGUUAACUUGAUUGGACAUUGAUGAAAUUAUAAAAACAAAUAUAGAAAAUACAAUUAUUUGAUGUCGGCACAAUAACUAAAGAUGAACUAAGGAAUAUUCUAUCAAAAGGUAAAUUGAUAGAUUUUUUUACCAUAAGAACUCAUUCUUCCAUGAAUGGCGUAAGUUUACUCUCUUGGGAUUCACACUCAUUGAAUCGGUUUCAACAAUUUAGGAUAUCUACAUUUGUUGUUGAUACACUUAUAUGUGCGACCUCUGGUACCUUCUGGACAAUCAGCAGCAGUUUGACAAACAGGUAAUGCUAUAAUGGA
rnacentral:lncRNA from 1 species